AAUUUUGGACAAUGGGGGCAACCCUGAUCUAGCCAUCCCGUGUGUGCGAUGAAGGCCUUCGGGUUGUAAAGCACUUCUGGCAGGGAAGAAAAGACCCAGGCUAAUACCAGGAGCUGCUGACGGUACCUGCAGAAUAAGCACCGGCUAACUAAGUGCCAGCAGCCGCGGUAAUACGUAGGGUGCAAGCGUUAAUCGGAAUUACUGGGCGUAAAGCGUGCGCAGGCAGUUCGGCAAGAAGGAUGUGAAAUCCCAGGGCUUAACCUUGGAACUGCAUUCUUAACUGCCGGGCUAGAGUAUGUCAGAGGGGGGUAGAAUUCCGCGUGUAGCAGUGAAAUGCGUAGAGAUGCGGAGGAAUACCGAUGGCGAAGGCAGCCCCCUGGGAUAAUACUGACGCUCAUGCACGAAAGCGUGGGGAGCAAAC
rnacentral:rRNA from 1 species